rnacentral:snRNA from 1 species
ACAUGAGGGUGAUCAGGCUGCAACAUCUGUCACCCCAUUGAUCACCAGGGUUGAUUCGGCUGAUCUGGCCGGCUAGGUGGGUGUCCCUUUCCUCUCUCACUGCUCCAUGUGCGUCCCUCCCGAAGCUGCAUGCUCCGUCGAAGAGGAUGGCCUUCCCCAAAUAGAGAUGGACCGGUCUUCGGUCAAGGGUAUAUGAGUAGCUGCGCUCCCCUGCUGAAACCUCCAAACAAGCUCUCAAGGUCAUUUUUGUAUAGACACAGGAAAACAGUUAUUGCUAUGCUUUUGCAACUUGGUAGUU